rnacentral:lncRNA from 1 species
UUGAAAAUUUAUGAAAGUCUUGGUUUUUUAUUUUUAGGGACUGCAAUGCACUCUUUAAAUCCCCAAAUGAUUACUGGUGCCAAAAUCUAGGGGCAAGAAGAUUUUCAAUUUGGUUGGUUUUCAAGCAAACCUAGUUUGGUUUUGACACUUCGCUAGGAUAUUAUUUGGUGCCAAGAUUUGGAAAUUUUUGAAAGUCUUGGUUUUUGAAAUUUAGGGAUGCAAUGCACACUUUAAAUCCCGAAACGACAACUACUGAAAAGAAUAGGUGCAAGAAAAUUUUCAAUUUGGUUGGUUUUCAAGCAAACCAAGUUUGGUGAUGAGACUUGGCGAGGUUGGUGCUUGGUGCCAAGAUAUAAAAAUUUUUGAAUGCCUUGGUUGUUGAUUUUUAGGGACUGGAAUGCACUCUUUCAAUCGCCAAAUGAUUACUGGUGCCAAAAUCUAGGUGAAAGAAGAUUUUCAAUUUGGUUGGUUUUCAAGCAAACCUGGUUUGGUGAUGAGACUUGCCUAAGUUGGUGCUUGGUGCCAAGAUAUGAAAAUUUAUGAAAGUCUUGUUUUUUAUUUUUAGGGACUGCAAUGCACUCUUUAAAUCCCCAAAUCAUUACUGGUGCCAAACUCUAGCUGCAAGAACAUUUUCAAUAUGGUUGGUUUUCAAGCAAACCUAGUUUGGUUUUCACACUUCGCUAGGAUAUUAUUUGGUUCCAAGAUUUGGAAAUUUUUGAAAGUCUUGGUGUUUGACAUUUAGUGAUGCAAUGUGCACACUUUAAAUCCCGAAAUGUCAAAUGGUGAAAAAAAUAGGUGCAAGAAAAUUGUCAAUUUUUUUGGUUUUCUAGCAAACCAAGUUUGGUGGUGAUGAGACUUGGCUUAGUUGGUGCUUGGUGCCAAGAUUUGAAAAUUUUUGAAAGUCCUUGUUUUUUAUUUUUAGGGACUGCAAUGCACUCUUUAAAUCCCCAGAUGAUUAUUGGUGCGAAAAUCUAGAUGCAAGAAGAUUUUCAAUUUGGUUGGUUUUCAAACACACCUAGUUUGGUUUUGAGACUUCGCUAGGUUAUUGUUUGGUGCCAAGAUUUGGAAAUUUUUGAAAGUCUUUGUUUUUGACAUUUAGGGAUGCAAU